rnacentral:miRNA from 1 species
UUCUCUUCUUCUUCUUCUCU